AACGAACGCUGGCGGCAGGCUUAACACAUGCAAGUCGAGCGCCCCGCAAGGGGAGCGGCAGACGGGUGAGUAACGCGUGGGAAUGUACCCUUUGCUACGGAAUAGCUCCGGGAAACUGGGAUUAAUACCGUAUGUGCCCUUCGGGGGAAAGAUUUAUCGGCAAAGGAUCAGCCCGCGUUGGAUUAGCUAGUUGGUGGGGUAAAGGCCUACCAAGGCGACGAUCCAUAGCUGGUCUGAGAGGAUGAUCAGCCACAUUGGGACUGAGACACGGCCCAAACUCCUACGGGAGGCAGCAGUGGGGAAUAUUGGACAAUGGGCGCAAGCCUGAUCCAGCUAUGCCGCGUGGAUGAAGAAGGCCUUAGGGUUGUAAAGUCCUUUCGUUGGUGAAGAUAAUGACGGUAACCAAAGAAGAAGCCCCGGCUAAUUUCGUGCCAGCCGCCGCGGUAACAC
rnacentral:rRNA from 1 species